UCAGCUGCCUGGGCCCCCUUCCUGGCCCAGCCCCUUCUUACUGUGUGGUCUUAAAGCAGGUCACUUCACCUCUCCCUAUCUUUCUCUGUAAAACCCAGAUAAUGCUACUUCCAGAAUAAAGAAAGGGUUUUCUUUAAGCCCUUUGAGCUUCAGAUGGAGGCACCACAGCCCUGCCCGGGGCCGCGCCGGCCACCAUGUGAUUAGGUAAUGUGAGACGCGCGGCUCAUUAUGCUUUGUCUGCAGUGAAUGCGGCCCGGCCACAAAGCGCUGGAACUUUCGGUACAUUGAAACCCCCACGGUGGAGGGACCUGUAUCCCCAGACCAGCAUCCCCAGAAGCUUCCUCUGCAAGACACAGAAGACUCCCGGGCAGUCCGGCCUUGCUGGGCAGAGCGGGAGCUAUGCCUGUGCGGAGGUGAGGAGAAGUCAAUGGCUACCAUACAUUGACCUCCUACUACGUGCCAAGAAUUAUGCUAGGUAUGUUUUUCCAUCCCAAACCCUCAAGAUAACUGUAUUAAACCCUAGCUACGUUCUGAGAACAAAAGGAAACAAAAACACCCGCUAAUCUUUAUACAUUUUUCACCGUAAUGAAAGCCUAUCCGUUUGGGCCCUGUAGAUCUGAGCCCAGAAUUUUGGCCUGAGGCCUCCUCCCUGAUCCUCAGGCUUUAAGACCACACAGCAUGGGUCAGCAAACCACAAAGGGAAGGCUUACUUUUCUCACCCUGACCCAGACCUCUGAAGCCUUCCUGAUGACGCCUUGGGCAGGGCUCACUCAGCUUGACAAACUUUUACCCGGAACCCUCUGAUCCCAUUUUGAUGAAUGAAGUCAAAACCCCAGUGGGUUCGCUCAUCUGGCUGCUAUAGCACAGCCAGUCAAAGAUCUCAGUACCCAUCUGGAUACUUCAUUAGGGUCCUAAGACAUCUGGGGACCAGCGAUGGAAGAAACGUGCUUGUGUCGGGCGCCUAUCAUACGCCCGCACUGUGCUGAGCCCUUUCCAAUAUGGUAUCUCGGAUAGUCCCCCACCAAAAAAAAAAAAAAAAAAAGAAAGAAAAGAAA